rnacentral:tRNA from 1 species
CAGGUUAUAGUUUAAUUAAAAUUUAGGCUUUGGGAGCCUUUGAUUCUAUUGUUAUAGAUGUCCUGA